UAAGGAAUAUUGGUCAAUGGACGCAAGUCUGAACCAGCCAUGCCGCGUGAAGGAUGAAGGUCCUCUGGAUUGUAAACUUCUUUUAUCUGGGACGAAAACGGGAUUUUUAUCUCAAUUGACGGUACCAGAGGAAUAAGCACCGGCUAACUCCGUGCCAGCAGCCGCGGUAAUACGGAGGGUGCGAGCGUUAUCCGGAUUUACUGGGUUUAAAGGGUGCGUAGGUGGGCUUAUAAGUCAGUGGUGAAAUCUCCGAGCUUAACUUGGAAACUGCCGUUGAUACUAUAGGUCGUGAAUUAUCUGGAGGUAAGCGGAAUAUGUCAUGUAGCGGUGAAAUGCUUAGAUAUGACAUAGAACACCAAUUGCGAAGGCAGCUUACUACAUAUAAAUUGACGCUGAGGCACGAAAGCGUGGGGAUCAAACA
rnacentral:rRNA from 1 species